GCUGUGGGGAUCUGGCACUGUGGUUCCUGCAAUGAAAACGGUAGCUGGUGGUGCCUGGACCUACACCACCUCUUCUGCUGUCACAGUCAAGUCUGCC
rnacentral:miRNA from 1 species